rnacentral:piRNA from 1 species
CUCUCAGGGGUGAUAUAAACCGAGGGGGUAA